rnacentral:lncRNA from 1 species
CGAAAGGCAAACGCGAGUCUGUUUGGAUCGGCACAUUGGGCGGACUUUUCAGUCUGUCGCGACCCAAACGGACGCACGCGAACGAAAUGGAGCGGCGCGUUGAAGUUGCUAUUAUAGAACUUAUUAGGGCAUCUCUAACAUAGACCAUCAAACCCCCUAGAUAAUGUGCCAUGCGCGAUCUGUAUUUGCAUCUUAAAUUAUACUCCCUCAAUUCCUUAAUGUAAGAUGUAUUAUUUUUGUCAUGAUGGUCAAGACAUGUAGUUAUUAUUGGAAAUAUGCCCUAGAGGCAAUGAUAAAA